rnacentral:rRNA from 1 species
GAUGAACGCUGGCGGCGUGCCUAAUACAUGCAAGUCGAGCGAACCUCUUCGGAGGUUAGCGGCGGACGGGUGAGUAACACGUGGGCAACCUACCUUGUAGAUGGGGAUAACAUCGAGAAAUCGGUGCUAAUACCGAAUAACACUUUUCUCCACAUGGAGAAAAGUUAAAAGUUGGCUUUUGCUAACACUACAAGAUGGGCCCGCGGCGCAUUAGCUAGUUGGUGAGGUAACGGCUCACCAAGGCGACGAUGCGUAGCCGACCUGAGAGGGUGAUCGGCCACACCGGGACUGGAACACGGCCCAGACUCCUACGGGAGGCAGCAGUAGGGAAUCUUCCGCAAUGGACGAAAGUCUGACGGAGCAACGCCGCGUGAGUGAUGAAGGCCUUCGGGUCGUAAAACUCUGUUGUUAGGGAAGAACAAGUACCGUUCGAAUAGGGCGGUACCGUGACGGUACCUAACCAGAAAGCCACGGCUAACUACGUGCCAGCCGCCGCUGUAA